AGAGUUUGAUCCUGGCUCAGGAUGAACGCUGGCGGCGUGCCUAAUACAUGCAAGUCGAGCGAACGGACGAGAAGCUUGCUUCUCUGAUGUUAGCGGCGGACGGGUGAGUAACACGUGGAUAACCUACCUAUAAGACUGGGAUAACUUCGGGAAACCGGAGCUAAUACCGGAUAAUAUUUUGAACCGCAUGGUUCAAAAGUGAAAGACGGUCUUGCUGUCACUUAUAGAUGGAUCCGCGCUGCAUUAGCUAGUUGGUAAGGUAACGGCUUACCAAGGCAACGAUGCAUAGCCGACCUGAGAGGGUGAUCGGCCACACUGGAACUGAGACACGGUCCAGACUCCUACGGGAGGCAGCAGUAGGGAAUCUUCCGCAAUGGGCGAAAGCCUGACGGAGCAACGCCGCGUGAGUGAUGAAGGUCUUCGGAUCGUAAAACUCUGUUAUUAGGGAAGAACAUAUGUGUAAGUAACUGUGCACAUCUUGACGGUACCUAAUCAGAAAGCCACGGCUAACUACGUGCCAGCAGCCGCGGUAAUACGUAGGUGGCAAGCGUUAUCCGGAAUUAUUGGGCGUAAAGCGCGCGUAGGCGGUUUUUUAAGUCUGAUGUGAAAGCCCACGGCUCAACCGUGGAGGGUCAUUGGAAACUGGAAAACUUGAGUGCAGAAGAGGAAAGUGGAAUUCCAUGUGUAGCGGUGAAAUGCGCAGAGAUAUGGAGGAACACCAGUGGCGAAGGCGACUUUCUGGUCUGUAACUGACGCUGAUGUGCGAAAGCGUGGGGAUCAAACAGGAUUAGAUACCCUGGUAGUCCACGCCGUAAACGAUGAGUGCUAAGUGUUAGGGGGUUUCCGCCCCUUAGUGCUGCAGCUAACGCAUUAAGCACUCCGCCUGGGGAGUACGACCGCAAGGUUGAAACUCAAAGGAAUUGACGGGGACCCGCACAAGCGGUGGAGCAUGUGGUUUAAUUCGAAGCAACGCGAAGAACCUUACCAAAUCUUGAUAUCCUUUGACAACUCUAGAGAUAGAGCCUUCCCCUUCGGGGGACAAAGUGACAGGUGGUGCAUGGUUGUCGUCAGCUCGUGUCGUGAGAUGUUGGGUUAAGUCCCGCAACGAGCGCAACCCUUAAGCUUAGUUGCCAUCAUUAAGUUGGGCACUCUAAGUUGACUGCCGGU
rnacentral:rRNA from 1 species